GGAUGCGAAGGUGAUCUGGCUAUGGUGUCUGUUACCCCACUGAUGACCAGGGUUGAUUUGUCUGAUUGGCUCGCUAUGUUGGGGUCCCCUCCCUUCCUCAUUGUCUGAUGUGCUUCCCUCCUGAAGUUGCCCACCCUGUUGGUCAGUCUGUCAGUCGGUCAAAGAGGAUGAUUUUCCCCCAGUAGAGGAGGAGUGGCCUUCAGUCAAGGACAUAGGGGUAACUGUACUCCCCUACCAGAACCUCAAAACAAGCUCUCAAGAAAAUUCAGCAAUAGGCAAACUGAAGGAAAGAUACCUGUGACUCGUGCAUCUGAUAAAGGUCCCACAUUCAGAAUGU
rnacentral:snRNA from 1 species